GGCCGACUAGCUCAGUUGGUUAGAGCGUCGUGCUAAUACGAUCCGUUGGUAAGGACUCGACUGGUACUUUCGUGCUCUUACCGACGGACUCGAUACGCGAAGGUCUUGGGUUCGAUCCCCACGUUGGCCA